rnacentral:rRNA from 1 species
AUGCGGUAGAGGAGCGUUCUGUAAGCCUGUGAAGGUGCGUUGUAAGGCGUGCUGGAGGUAUCAGAAGUGCGAAUGCUGACGUGAGUAGCGUUAAUGGGGGUGAAAAGCCUCCACGCCGUAAGCCCAAGGUUUCCUGUUCAACGUUCAUCGGAGCAGGGUGAGUCGGCCCCUAAGGCGAGGCAGAGAUGCGUAGCCGAUGGGAAGCAGGUUAAUAUUCCUGCACCGUCGUAUGAUGCGAUGGGGGGACGGAUCGCGGAAGGUUGUCUGACUGUUGGAAUAGUCAGUUUCUGCUUCAUAGAAGGCACUUAGGCAAAUCCGGGUGCGUAAUUCAAGGGAGUGGGACGAGCGGCCUUGUGCUGCGAAGCAAUCGGAAGUGGUUCCAAGAAAAGCCUCUAAGCUUCAGUCAUACGAGACCGUACCGCAAACCGACACAGGUGGGCGAGAUGAGUAUUCUAAGGCGCUUGAGAGAACUCGGGAGAAGGAACUCGGCAAAUUGGUACCGUAACUUCGGGAAAAGGUACGCCCUUGUAGUUUGACCACUUUACUGUGGAAGGAUGAACGGGUUGCAAUAAACUGGUGGCUGCGACUGUUUAAUAAAAACACAGCACUCUGCAAACACGAAAGUGGACGUAUAGGGUGUGACGCCUGCCCGGUGCUGGAAGAUUAAAUGAUGGGGUGCAAGCUCUUGAUUGAAGUCCCAGUAAACGGCGGCCGUAACAAUAACGGUCCUAAGGUAGCGAAAUUCCUUGUCGGGUAAGUUCCGACCUGCACGAAUGGCGUAACGAUGGCCACACUGUCUCCUCCCGAGACUCAGCGAAGUUGAAAUGUUUGUGAUGAUGCAAUCUACCCGCGGCUAGACGGAAAGACCCCAUGAACCUUUACUGUAGCUUUGCAUUGGACUUUGAACCAAUCUGUGUAGGAUAGGUGGGAGGCUUUGAAGCGGGGACGCCAGUUCUCGUGGAGCCAUCCUUGAAAUACCACCCUGGUUUGUUUGAGGUUCUAACCUUGGUCCGUUAUCCGGAUCGGGGACAGUGCAUGGUAGGCAGUUUGACUGGGGCGGUCUCCUCCUAAAGUGUAACGGAGGAGUUCGAAGGUACGCUAGGUACGGUCGGACAUCGUGCUAAUAGUGCAAUGGCAUAAGCGUGCUUAACUGCGAGACCGACAAGUCGAGCAGGUACGAAAGUAGGACAUAGUGAUCCGGUGGUUCUGUAUGGAAGGGCCAUCGCUCAACGGAUAAAAGGUACUCUGGGGAUAACAGGCUGAUACCGCCCAAGAGUUCAUAUCGACGGCGGUGUUUGGCACCUCGAUGUCGGCUCAUCACAUCCUGGGGCUGAAGCCGGUCCCAAGGGUAUGGCUGUUCGCCAUUUAAAGUGGUACGUGAGCUGGGUUUAAAACGUCGUGAGACAGUUCGGUCCCUAUCUGCCGUGGACGUUUGAGAUUUGAGAGGGGCUGCUCCUAGUACGAGAGGACCGGAGUGGACGAACCUCUGGUGUACCGGUUGUCACGCCAGUGGCAUUGCCGGGUAGCUAUGUUCGGAAUAGAUAACCGCUGAAAGCAUCUAAGCGGGAAACUAGCCUCAAGAUGAGAUCUCACUGGGACCUUGAGUCCCCUGAAGGGCCGUCGAAGACUACGACGUUGAUAGGUUGGGUGUGUAAGCGCUGUGAGGCGUUGAGCUAACCAAUACUAAUUGCCCGUGAGGCUUGACCUA